UACGGAGGGUGCAAGCGUUGUCCGGAUUUAUUGGGUUUAAAGGGUGCGUAGGUGGCUUGUUAAGUCCGGGGUGAAAGCCCACAGCUCAACUGUGGAACUGCCCUGGAUACUGGCGAGCUUGAGUCCAGACGAGGUUGGCGGAAUGGAAGCUGUAGCGGUGAAAUGCAUAGAUAGCAUCCAGAACCCCGAUUGCGUAGGCAGCUGACUAGGCUGGUACUGACACUGAGGCACGAAAGCGUGGGGAGCGAACAGG
rnacentral:rRNA from 1 species